rnacentral:tRNA from 1 species
CAGAUUUAAUACACUUGUUUACUUACAAUAAGCAAUUUGCUUUUAACCAGCUAAGUCUGA